rnacentral:rRNA from 1 species
GGAGAAAAGCAGGGGAUCGCAAGACCUUGCGCGAAUGGAGCGGCCGAUGGCAGAUUAGGUAGUUGGUGGGGUAAAGGCCUACCAAGGCAUUGAUCAGUAGCUGGUCUGAGAGGACGACCAGCCACACUGGAACUGAGACACGGUCCAGACUCCUACGGGAGGCAGCAGUGGGGAAUUUUGGACAAUGGGCGCAAGCCUGAUCCAGCAAUGCCGCGUGAGUGAAGAAGGCCUUCGGGUUGUAAAGCUCUUUUGUCAGGGAAGAAACGGUCGUGGCUAAUAUCCAUGGCUAAUGACGGUACCUGAAGAAUAAGCACCGGCUAACUACGUGCCAGCAGCCGCGGUAAUACGUAGGGUGCAAGCGUUAAUCGGAAUUACUGGGCGUAAAGCGUGCGCAGGCGGUUUUGUAAGUCUGUCGUGAAAUCCCCGGGCUCAACCUGGGAAUUGCGAUGGAGACUGCAAGGCUAGAAUCUGGCAGAGGGGGGUAGAAUUCCACGUGUAGCAGUGAAAUGCGUAGAGAUGUGGAGGAACACCGAUGGCGAAGGCAGCCCCCUGGGUCAAGAUUGACGCUCAUGCACGAAAGCGUGGGGAGCAAACAGGAUUAGAUACCCUGGUAGUCCACGCCCUAAACGAUGUCUACUAGUUGUCGGGUUUUAAUUAACUUGGUAACGCAGCUAACGCGUGAAGUAGACCGCCUGGGGAGUACGGUCGCAAGAUUAAAACUCAAAGGAAUUGACGGGGACCCGCACAAGCGGUGGAUGAUGUGGAUUAAUUCGAUGCAACGCGAAAAACCUUACCUACCCUUGACAUGGACGGAAGCCACGAGAGAUCGAGGUGUGCUCGAAAGAGAACCGUCACACAGGUGCUGCAUGGCUGUCGUCAGCUCGUGUCGUGAGAUGUUGGGUUAAGUCCCGCAACGAGCGCAACCCUUGCCAUUAGUUGCUACGAAAGGGCACUCUAAUGAGACUGCCGGUGACAAACCGGAGGAAGGUGGGGAUGACGUCAAGUCCUCAUGGCCCUUAUGGGUAGGGCUUCACACGUAAUACAAUGGUACAUACAGAGGGCCGCCAACCCGCGAGGGGGAGCUAAUCCCAGAAAGUGUAUCGUAGUCCGGAUCGGAGUC